AGCGUACACGGUGGAUGCCCUGGCAGUCAGAGGCGAUGAAGGACGUGCUAAUCUGCGAAAAGCGUCGGUAAGGUGAUAUGAACCGUUACAGCCGGCGAUGUCCGAAUGGGGAAACCCAGUGCAAUUCGUUGCACUAUCGUUAACUGAAUACAUAGGUUAACGAGGCGAACCGGGGGAACUGAAACAUCUAAGUACCCCGAGGAAAAGAAAUCAACCGAGAUUCCCCCAGUAGCGGCGAGCGAACGGGGAGCAGCCCAGAGUCUGAAUCAGCUUGUGUGUUAGUGGAACGGUCUGGAAAGUCCGACGGUACAGGGUGAUAGUCCCGUACACCAAAAUGCACAGGCUGUGAACUCGAAGAGUAGGGCGGGACACGUGGUAUCCUGUCUGAAUAUGGGGGGACCAUCCUCCAAGGCUAAAUACUCCUGACUGACCGAUAGUGAACCAGUACCGUGAGGGAAAGGCGAAAAGAACCCCGGCGAGGGGAGUGAAAAAGAACCUGAAACCGUGUACGUACAAGCAGUGGGAGCACCUUCGGGUGUGACUGCGUACCUUUUGUAUAAUGGGUCAGCGACUUAUAUUCUGUAGCAAGGUUAACCGUAUAGGGGAGCCGCAGGGAAACCGAGUCUUAACUGGGCGUUAAGUUGCAGGGUAUAGACCCGAAACCCGGUGAUCUAGCCAUGGGCAGGUUGAAGGUUGGGUAACACUAACUGGAGGACCGAACCGACUAAUGUUGAAAAAUUAGCGGAUGACUUGUGGCUGGGGGUGAAAGGCCAAUCAAACCGGGAGAUAGCUGGUUCUCCCCGAAAGCUAUUUAGGUAGCGCCUCGUGAACUCAUCUUCGGGGGUAGAGCACUGUUUCGGCUAGGGGGUCAUCCCGACUUACCAACCCGAUGCAAACUACGAAUACCGAAGAAUGUUAUCACGGGAGACACACGGCGGGUGCUAACGUCCGUCGUGAAGAGGGAAACAACCCAGACCGCCAGCUAAGGUCCCAAAGUCAUGGUUAAGUGGGAAACGAUGUGGGAAGGCACAGACAGCCAGGAUGUUGGCUUAGAAGCAGCCAUCAUUUAAAGAAAGCGUAAUAGCUCACUGGUCGAGUCGGCCUGCGCGGAAGAUGUAACGGGGCUAAACCAUGCACCGAAGCUGCGGCAGCGACACUAUGUGUUGUUGGGUAGGGGAGCGUUCUGUAAGCCUGCGAAGGUGUGCUGUGAGGCAUGCUGGAGGUAUCAGAAGUGCGAAUGCUGACAUAAGUAACGAUAAAGCGGGUGAAAAGCCCGCUCGCCGGAAGACCAAGGGUUCCUGUCCAACGUUAAUCGGGGCAGGGUGAGUCGACCCCUAAGGCGAGGCCGAAAGGCGUAGUCGAUGGGAAACAGGUUAAUAUUCCUGUACUUGGUGUUACUGCGAAGGGGGGACGGAGAAGGCUAUGUUAGCCGGGCGACGGUUGUCCCGGUUUAAGCAUGUAGGCUGGUUAUCCAGGCAAAUCCGGAUAAUCAAGGCUGAGGUGUGAUGACGAGGCACUACGGUGCUGAAGUAACAAAUGCCCUGCUUCCAGGAAAAGCCUCUAAGCAUCAGGUAACAUCAAAUCGUACCCCAAACCGACACAGGUGGUCAGGUAGAGAAUACCAAGGCGCUUGAGAGAACUCGGGUGAAGGAACUAGGCAAAAUGGUGCCGUAACUUCGGGAGAAGGCACGCUGGUGUGUAGGUGAAGUCCCUGCGGAUGGAGCUGAGACCAGUCGAAGAUACCAGCUGGCUGCAACUGUUUAUUAAAAACACAGCACUGUGCAAACACGAAAGUGGACGUAUACGGUGUGACGCCUGCCCGGUGCCGGAAGGUUAAUUGAUGGGGUUAUCCGUAAGGAGAAGCUCUUGAUCGAAGCCCCGGUAAACGGCGGCCGUAACUAUAACGGUCCUAAGGUAGCGAAAUUCCUUGUCGGGUAAGUUCCGACCUGCACGAAUGGCGUAAUGAUGGCCAGGCUGUCUCCACCCGAGACUCAGUGAAAUUGAACUCGCUGUGAAGAUGCAGUGUACCCGCGGCAAGACGGAAAGACCCCGUGAACCUUUACUAUAGCUUGACACUGAACAUUGAGCCUUGAUGUGUAGGAUAGGUGGGAGGCUUUGAAGCGUGGACGCCAGUCUGCGUGGAGCCAACCUUGAAAUACCACCCUUUAAUGUUUGAUGUUCUAACGUUGGCCCCUGACCGGGGUUGCGGACAGUGUCUGGUGGGUAGUUUGACUGGGGCGGUCUCCUCCCAAAGCGUAACGGAGGAGCACGAAGGUUAGCUAAUCCUGGUCGGACAUCAGGAGGUUAGUGCAAUGGCAUAAGCUAGCUUGACUGCGAGCGUGACGGCGCGAGCAGGUGCGAAAGCAGGUCAUAGUGAUCCGGUGGUUCUGAAUGGAAGGGCCAUCGCUCAACGGAUAAAAGGUACUCCGGGGAUAACAGGCUGAUACCGCCCAAGAGUUCAUAUCGACGGCGGUGUUUGGCACCUCGAUGUCGGCUCAUCACAUCCUGGGGCUGAAGUAGGUCCCAAGGGUAUGGCUGUUCGCCAUUUAAAGUGGUACGCGAGCUGGGUUUAGAACGUCGUGAGACAGUUCGGUCCCUAUCUGCCGUGGGCGCUGGAGAAUUGAGGGGGGCUGCUCCUAGUACGAGAGGACCGGAGUGGACGCAUCACUGGUGUUCGGGUUGUCAUGCCAAUGGCACUGCCCGGUAGCUAAAUGCGGAAGAGAUAAGUGCUGAAAGCAUCUAAGCACGAAACUUGCCCCGAGAUGAGUUCU
rnacentral:rRNA from 1 species